AUGGCGGAGACGCAGCCGCGCUCGCCGCCGCCGUCGUGGUCGGCCAUCCCGCUGGACCUGGCGAGCCUGGUGCUCCGCCUCCUCCCCGCGUACGCCGACCGCGCCCUCUUCGCCGCCGUGUGCCCGCAGUGGCGCAACGUCGCGCAGCAGUUCCUCCGCCUGCACCCGCCGCUGCCGCUGCUCGCUCUCCCGGACGGCACCUUCUACAGCCUCCCCUACGCCAAGCCCUUCCGCUUCCCGGGAUUCGGCUUCGCCGGGUACCAGGGCGUCUGCGGCAGCUGGCUCGUCUUCCCGCGCGACGACGGGUGCUUCCUGCAUGACCCGUUCGCCAGGGCCACCGUCAGGCUCCCUCCUCUCUCGCGCGUCCGGCUGCGUCCUCCAAACGCAGUCCAGAAAUGGACAAAAUGGGAAGACGGGGAGCGCUCCCCCGACCCUUACACCACAUGGAUGCAUAUAGAGGACAUGGAAGGGAAGCUGCGCAUGAGCAAGAUAAUAUUGUGCUCCCCCAACCUUGUUGCUGCGCUGGUCGGUGUUGGAAGACCCUGUCACCUUCCAAUAUGCCAUCCAGGAGGCGCCAGUCAGAUUCUAAUGUGCCAGCCGGGGGCCUCGUCGUGGUCAGUACGCGCGUAUGACAAGUGUAAGCUUUACGAAGACAUGGCCUUCUACCAGGGCAAGCUCUAUGCCAUUGCCAAUGAUGAGAACCUCUUUGUGGUGAACAUCAGCCAGCACCAAUGCACCGGGGAUCCACAGGUCUCUCGAGUUGGACAGGUCAUCAAGGGUGAUCCCUGGCAGACAGUUGCGUCCGAAGACGACAAUACGCCCGGCAAGAAGCUCUACCUGGUUGAAUCACGCGGUAAAUUGCUGAUGGUAUGCAGGAAGAUUUGGGUUCCUGAACUUGAAGACGGAGAUUUUUCUUUCGGGAAUGAGUUUGAGGUAUUCGAGGCUGACUUUGCGCAUUCACGGUGGGUGAAGGUGACAACUGUGGGGGAUGACCAGGUGCUGUUUCUUGGGAGAAGGUGCUCCAGGGCUGUCUCUGUGUCUCAGUAUGGGUUGCCCGGUGAUCACAUCUUUUUCUUGGAUGAUGACGAAGUGAAUCGUGUGAAAUACGGCUAUGAUGAGAACACCUUUUGCAGUGCCUAUAACAUGAGAGACGGCAAGGUCUCUUCCCCUCAUCCAAUGAUCUCCUGGAAACGUUGUGAUGAGAUGUGUCUUGCAGCAUGGCUCUUCCCUCAGGACUGA
rnacentral:rRNA from 1 species